rfam:Collinsella sp. CAG:289 genomic scaffold, scf56
GGGGGCGUAGCUCAGCUGGGAGAGCGCUUGACUGGCAGUCAAGAGGUCAGGGGUUCGAUUCCCCUCGUCUCCA